GCGGGCGUAGUGUAGAGGUAACAUGUUAGUCUUCCAAUCUAAAGAUGGGGGUUCGAUUCCCCCCGCCCGCU
rnacentral:tRNA from 1 species